UACAGGGGGUGCAAACGUUGCUCGGAAUUAUUGGGCGUAAAGCGCACGUAGGCGGUUCGUUAUGUCAGAUGUGAAAGCCCUUGGCUCAACCGGGGAAGUGCAUCCGAAACUGGCAGGCUAGAGUACGAAAGAGGGUCGCGGAAUUCCCGGUGUAGAGGUGAAAUUCGUAGAUAUCGGGAGGAACACCGGUGGCGAAGGCGGCGACCUGGGUCGAUACUGACGCUGAGGUGCGAAAGCGUGGGGAGCAAACAGG
rnacentral:rRNA from 1 species